rnacentral:rRNA from 1 species
GUGGAUUAGAUACCCUGGUAGUCCACGCCGUAAACGAUGUCGACUAGCCGUUGGGAAACUUGCUUUCUCAGUGGCGCAGCUAACGCGCUAAGUCGACCGCCUGGGGAGUACGGCCGCAAGGUUAAAACUCAAAUGAAUUGACGGGGACCCGCACAAGCGGUGGAGUAUGUGGUUUAAUUCGACGCAACGCGAAGAACCUUACCUGCUCUUGACAUGUCGAGAACUUUCCAGAGAUGGAUUGGUGCCUUCGGGAACUCGAACACAGGUGCUGCACGGCUGUCGUCAGCU